CAGGACAUUUCCAGGACAACAAGAACCCUAGAAAUAUCAAGUAUAACAGCUUAUACAGCAUCUCUGCCCCACCUGGAAAGCAACACGAUGGGUUAUCAGAGAGGCCUUCCUUUACUUUAUGUGUGUGCAGUAGUGAGAAGGGGGAGAAAUCCCUAAGGGGAAACAACCGAUUAUCUAAGAUCUCUGGAAGAGCAGGGGGAGAACCCUUCUAGAUCCCUUUUGAAAGAAGCAUGAAGAGAAAACCAUGGAACCGGGGAGUGGAUUUGACAUGGAGGCCGACACAACAGAAGAGUUCUUCAAGCUCCGGCCUGGUUUCUACAAAAAACUACACUAUGGUGCCGGCUGUGUCAACUUCCUGGUGCUUCUAAUCAUCACCAUAUCUCCCUACUGGCUGGGGUAUUCUGCAGAGGAAAACAAUUUUACUAUGGGGGUUUGGACUUAUUGCUUUCAGAAAAAAUGUGGCCUCGUUUCUGCAAGGUCAGAUGUUGCUGAACAACAACUUCCACCAUCGUGACGGGGAGUUGGGAUACCACCAGCGGCUGGAGGACCACAAAUUCCCCCAUCCUGACAUAGUUGUUUCCACACUCCCCGUUCUUAGCCUCACAAGGACCUGUCAAGGGGACGAGAGAGAGCACUGGCCCAAGAUCACUCAAUGAGUUUUCAUGACUGGGUGGAGACUGCAGCCCAGGUCGUAGUCUGAAACUCUUUUCUCUCAGUAGAAUGACUCAUUAUACAAUCUGCAUGCUGACUGCUCUAGUGAUUAUAUACACAAAGCUCAGAACUUCAGUAGAUGAUGCUGUGCUCCUGUCGCCAUGCCAGGAUUUCUUCCUUGGUUGCUUUGUCUUUGUUCUGUUCUUCGCCUUAGCUACAGUCAACUUAUGGUGGUACAUGCACUUGGUCUCAGCCCAGAAAAAGGCAGCCACCCAAAUAACCCCAGCAGAAGAAGCACCAUGACAACUGCAGAGCAUAUAAAGUUCCCUUGGUCCGUCACACCAGCAGAUAGCAGGGUCUUGUAAUGAGAUAUUUGCUGGGCCAUGCCCACCAUAACAGGCAUUCUGCUCUCUGAAACAAGCUCAACGGUCCUGGAGCCUGUUUGGACAAUGCACAGUACUGAUGUUUUGGAGAUGGAAGGGGCUCUGGGAGAUGCCUGUUUCCACAAAGUCACUUCUGAAAAGCCGUCUUCUGGAACUGCCCUGCUUGAACUUCCCCAGGGGUGCGGCCUCUUCAGCGAUAUUUAACAACUAACCAUUUCUGCUGAACACAGAACACAUCCCUUUCCGUGUCUAGGACAAUUGUCCAUGUCUCUCCACAUUUUGGGGUAUAUUACUUGCAAAAUUCACAAUAAAUAAAUCA